CCCGGCUCCGGGGCGUGGGGGUACCCUGAGGCUCCGAGCCCCGGAAGACGGCGGUUUGCCUCAGUUUCUCAACUUUUAUCUUCUGCCUUCAUUAAUUUUAAGAAGCCGCGUGGCCUAGCUGCAGCCAACAUUUGCUCUGGAUCCGUUCUUGGUUCACAUCCCAGCCCUGCCACUGUUGCUCAACGUUGACCAUGUUAUUAAAGCUCCCUGAACCUCGUUUUCCCCAUUUGUACCUCUCUUGAGCUCAAAUUUCGAUUAUUCACGUCUUUAUUAGUUUUUUUUUUAAGUAGUAUUUUAUUGUGUUUUUGGUGAAGGUGUACACAGCAGUUGAUGUUCCCAUUCAACAAAUUAUCAAUGACAUUGGUUACAUGAACAUUUUCAUUAUUUCUGUUCUGGUUCUGUUUCCUUUAGUCUAUUUUGCCGGACGUCUUACAUUUUCAUCUUUGUUUCAAAGUAGUUGUUGACCCAUUGGUCUUGUAUAAAUGAUCUUUUAAAGGAGCACAGUACUCACGGGUGAUAUUGUUUUGUAAGUCAGUCUGUUAUCUGGGUAAAAGAUGACCUCAGGGGCUAGUUUUAGUUCAAGGUUUAAAGAAUAUCUCAGGGCAAUAGUCUUGGUUAGUCCUCCAGUUUCAGCUGGCACAGUAAGUGUGUUUUUUUUUUAAUUUUUGGAAUUUGAGAUUCUUUUCCACAUUUUUCUCCCACUCUAUCAGGUCCAUCUAUUGUGGCUCUGAUCACAAAGGUCUGUAGUAGUAGUGCCGGGCACCAUCUAGUUCUUCUGGUCUCAGAGUAGAUGAGGCUGUGGUUUGUGUAGACUAUUAGUCCUGUAGACUACAUUCUUCUCUGAAUCUUUGGUUUUCUUCUUUCUCUUUUGCGCCAGGUGAAUAGAGGCCAAUAGUUGUAUCUUAGAUGGCUUGCACGCUUUUAAUACCCUGACACUACUCACCAAACUAGGAUGUAGGACAUAAACAUUAUGAACCAUAUUAUGCCACUUGACCGAGAUGUCCCACGAGACUAUGGUUUACUUGGUUAGUUUUAAGAAACAGAGUCUCUGCUUUCAAAUACCAGUUCUGCUGCUUCGUAUAUAGCCAGCUCUUGAGCAAGUUAUUUAACCUCUGAACCUCAGUUUCCCCACGCGUGAAGUGGAAGUGAUGGUAAGGUCCCCACCUCACAGGCAUGUUGUAACAACUAGAUGAGGUAUGUUUACCAUCAUGUAUUAUGUUUGAAUGCAUGCCUGGCACAAAGUGCUCGAUAAAUGUUAGAUUGCAUGAAAUCGUUCUUUUUUUUUUUUUUUUUCAUUAAAACACCAUUGUGCUUGUGCCGACAACCAUAAGCCUUGUCUUUAGCUGAGAAACUGAGGCUCAGUGAGGGGAAGUAACUUGCCCACAGUCACACAGCCAGGCUUCCAGGCCAUAUCUUUCUGACUUGGAAAGACUGAUUUUUCACUUCUUGCUCUUCUUUCUUUCAUUUUAGGCACCUGCUGUGCAUCAGGACGUUGUUAGGUGCUGGGAGAUCUGGGGGGAAUUCAGUGGUGAACAAGCAGACACAUCUCUGUCUUCCCUGGAUGUAAGGAAGUUAUUUAUGCGUUCGUAUUUCUAUUUUCACCCUCUCUAGGAUGUAAGUUCCAUUAAGCAGAAAUUGUGGCUGCCUUGUUUACUGCUGGAUCGGCCCCACUAAUAAUGUCCCCAGUAUCUACAACAGUGUCCUGAGCAUGGUUGACGUUCAGUAAAGAUUCAUUGAAUGCACUCAUUGGAGGGAUAUCUGCCCCAGUUGUCUUUUUUGUGGACUAUGCUUCCAACUGUUUAUACAUGGAAGAAAUUGAAGGCUCGAUGACUGUUCGAGAUUAUAUUCAGUCCACCAUGGAGACU